rnacentral:rRNA from 1 species
GCUUGACUGUAUCUUGGAAUUGGGUUCGGGCUUUUCUUGCGCAGACUAGGUGGGAGGCUAUGAAGAUUUUCUUCUGGGAAAGUUGGAGCCAACAGUGAGAGACCACUCUGGAAAGGCUAGAAUCCUAAUGGUGAUCCUUGAAUCAGGACACUUGACAGUUUCAGGUGGGCAGUUUUUCUGGGGCGGAAGCCUCAUAAAAGGUAACUGAGGCGCGCAAAGGUCCCCUCAGUCUGGACGGAAAUCAGACAUUGAGUGUAGAGGCAAAAGGGGGCUUGACUGCAAGACCCACAAGUCGAGCAGGGGCGAAAGCUGGCCUUAGUGAUCCGACGGUGCCGUGUGGAAGGGCCGUCGCUCAACGAAUAAAAGUUA